GAUGAACGCUGGCGGCGUGCCUAAUACAUGCAAGUCGAGCGAACAGAUGAUGAGCUUGCGCCUCUGACGUUAGCGGCGGGCGGGUGAGUAACACGUGUAUAACCUACCUGUAAUACGGGUAUAACUUCGGGAAACCGGAGCUAAUACCGUAUAAGAUAUUGAACCGCAGUGGUGAAUAGUGAAAUACGGUGUUUCUGUCACUUAUCGAUGGAUCCGGGCCGUAUUAGCUAGUUGGUAGUGUAACGGCUUACCAAGGCAACGAUGCGUAGCCGACCUCAUAGGCUGAUAGGCCACCUGGGAGCUGGACCACGGUCAAGAGUCCUGAGAGAGGGCGCAGUAGGGAAUGUGCCGCAGUGGGCGGAAGUAUGACGGAGCAACGCGGAGUGAGAGAUGGAGGUCCUCGGAUCGUAAAACCCGGUUACUAGGGAAGAACAACUGUGUACGUAAAUAUGCCCGUAUUGACGGUAACUAGUAAGAAAGCAACGGCUAACUACGUG
rnacentral:rRNA from 1 species